rnacentral:rRNA from 1 species
UACAGAGAGUGCGAACGUUGUUCGGAAUUACUGGGCUUAAAGCGCACGUAGGCGGCAUCGUAAGUGUCUGGUGAAAUCCCCCGGCUCAACUGGGGAACUGCACAGGAGACUGCUUGGCUUGAGUUCGGGAGAGGGAAGCGGAAUUCCGGGUGUAGCGGUGAAAUGCGUAGAUAUCCGGAGGAACACCGGUGGCGAAGGCGGCUUCCUGGACCGACACUGACGCUGAGGCGCGAAAGCCAGGGGAGCAAACGGG